UAGAACUUUGAUAGAUGGCACUAGUUAUGUGCAUACGCAUAUGAUGUUCUUAGUAUUGCCUACAAAGCUAUGAACAACGCGAUUCGUUGUGCUUAUCAUUGUUGACGUUAAUUGCUAUAAUUUAAGAAGAAAAAUGGAAUUGUUUUUAUUGCGACUUACGAGAGUGGAUCCAUUCACUUCGCAACUCAACGGUUGAACACUUAGAGUCACCAGAGCUCCAUUUCCUGUGGUGGUAUUCACAGCAAUAUCAUGCGGUAUUUUAACUUGCUUUAACAAUUGUGAAGUAUUCAGAUCGAAGACAAGGAGUUGCGGAGGGCAUACGGAUUGGACAUUAUUAAUGAGACCUGAGUCCAGAACCCACAAUCUGUCACAUAUAUCGAUCUAAAUAUCGAUACGGUGCCAGAAGAGGCCCACCGUUGCCAGUUUUAUUAGUUAUCACAUUCAAAGAAGAGGGCACACCAUUAAACUUCAUUAUAAUGACAAAAGUUUUAUCUACAAAGGAAAACAUGGGAUAUUUCUGUAAUAAUUAAAAAAUGAUAAUAAUUGAAAAAUGAAGAAAUAUUGUGGAGUAAUAUCGUUUAAAAUAAUUUACCACCCCAUUGAUCGGUAUCGAAAAGAUAAUUCAUUGUAUAAUUGUAAUCGCCUGAUUGAAUGGCAGCUUGUCUCUUUUCGUCACUACCGAAAUCGUAAUCAAUAUAUUUCCAUUCGUAAAUGACUUUCAACGAAUUUGUCAAAUUUUUUGAAUGAAUGUCUGUAACACCUUGACAAGCUAUGCCAAGAUACAUCAGCAGCAACCAUCUUAUCAUUUUUCUAAAAGAUAUUUUCUCUGAUCAGAAAGAUAAAAAAUUUUAAUUAAUAUCAGAAAGGCAUACUUGAGAUAUUUUAGUACUGACAAUUAAUUUUAAGGAAUGUAAGCAGUAUAUCUGAACUGCAGCGACUGUUGAAUUAUCACAGUUGGGCAAUAUAUAAGUAGUAAUGACCUAUAUUUUACCUGUAUCUAAAGAUAAAAUGAAUUGUGUUUUUUCAAAAUUUGCGUUUAUGUUGACACGGAAGUAUUUUAAAGUGCAUUUAAAAAAUUCUAAUGUGAUAGGUUAUAAUCUAAAUCUAAUUAAAUGAAAACAAUACAAUA